rnacentral:rRNA from 1 species
UACGAAGGUCCCGAGCGUUAUCCGGAUUUACUGGGUUUAAAGGGUGCGUAGGCGGGCCAUUAAGUCAGUGGUGAAAGCUCCGAGCUUAACUCGGAAACUGCCAUUGAUACUAUUGGUCUUGAAUUCGGUCGAGGUUGGCGGAAUGUGUCGUGUAGCGGUGAAAUCCUUAGAUAUGACACAGAACACCGAUUGCGAAGGCAGCUAGCUAGACCGACAUUGACGCUGAGGCACGAAAGCGUGGGGAUCAAACAGG